CCUACGGGUGGCAGCAGUGGGGAAUAUUGGACAAUGGGCGAAAGCCUGAUCCAGCCAUGCCGCGUGUGUGAAGAAGGCCUUCGGGUUGUAAAGCACUUUCAGUGGGGAAGAAAGCCUUGGGGCUAAUACCCUCGAGGAAGGACAUCACCCACAGAAGAAGCACCGGCUAACUCCGUGCCAGCAGCCGCGGUAAUACGGAGGGUGCGAGCGUUAAUCGGAAUUACUGGGCGUAAAGCGCGCGUAGGCGGUCUGAUAAGCCGGUUGUGAAAGCCCCGGGCUCAACCUGGGAACGGCAUCCGGAACUGUCAGGCUAGAGUGCAGGAGAGGAAGGUAGAAUUCCCGGUGUAGCGGUGAAAUGCGUAGAGAUCGGGAGGAAUACCAGUGGCGAAGGAGGCCUUCUGGACUGACACUGACGCUGAGGUGCGAAAGCGUGGGUAGCAAACAGGAUUAGAUACCCCGGUAGU
rnacentral:rRNA from 1 species